rnacentral:rRNA from 1 species
AUUGAACGCUGGCGGCAGGCUUAACACAUGCAAGUCGAGCGGAGAUGAAGUGCUUGCACCUUAUCUUAGCGGCGGACGGGUGAGUAAUGCUUAGGAAUCUGCCUAUUAGUGGGGGACAACAUUCCGAAAGGAAUGCUAAUACCGCAUACGUCCUACGGGAGAAAGCAGGGGAUCUUCGGACCUUGCGCUAAUAGAUGAGCCUAAGUCGGAUUAGCUAGUUGGUGGGGUAAAGGCCUACCAAGGCGGCGAUCUGUAGCGGGUCUGAGAGGAUGAUCCGCCACACUGGGACUGAGACACGGCCCAGACUCCUCCGGGAGGCAGCAGUGGGGAAUAUUGGACAAUGGGGGGAACCCUGAUCCAGCCAUGCCGCGUGUGUGAAGAAGGCCUUAUGGUUGUAAAGCACUUUAAGCGAGGAGGAGGCUACUGAGACUAAUACUCUUGGAUAGUGGACGUUACUCGCAGAAUAAGCACCGGCUAACUCUGUGCCAGCAGCCGCCGUAAAAC